ensembl:lncRNA
GUUUUGCUGGAGAUCCAUGUGAAUCUGAGGCCUUUUGAAGGUGAAAACCUUAAAAUCUGUGGUUAGAGAAUCCUGACUAAGCAACAAGAAGAAAAAGCUGAAUGCCAUCACCGAGAGAGGAAGUUCAUCACUUACUGGAACUCUGCAUUGUAUUUGCUUCAGAGAUUUUUUUUUUUUUUGUAACAAAGGGCUCAAAGUGUCUGAUCUUAUGUUCCUUUCACAGUGAUUUCAGUGCAAGUUGUGUCUAGGAUGAGUCAGAAAUGUUCCUCUUGAACUACGUCAGGACAUACAGAAAAGGUGUUAAUGCAAAUGAAUGAUUGGGCUGUUUUUGAGCAGACCCAUGGUUAGAGUCCUGAGAAACCCAAAUACCAAGGGAGCCUGGCACUGUUUGGUGAUGUGUGUGACUUGCAGUUGAGACAAGAUGGUUUCUGUGUAAGAAACACUGAAAUAUGCAAUUGCAUUACAAAUAAGGUAUUGAUUACAAGGAAUUGAUUUCUCCAUGAUCAAGUUAAUGCAACAUCUCUAAACAAUAUAUUUUGGAUAUGCUUUAGAUGUUUAAAAAGUGUGUAGUUACAGAGCUAUGAGGAUAAGAUAGACUUUAUCAACAGACAUCCAAAUGCUGAUUUAAAAGACAUCAUCAAGUAGUUCUCCUAAAUCUUCACAGACAAAGGCAACAACAAUUUGUCUUAAACCUAAUUCUGCAAAUAUGUCAGUAUGAAAACCCCAAAUUAAUGGAGUUUGUUACAAAUUGAUAUUUUUUUCUAUAUUUGUUUCAUAAUUGCAAAUGAAGUCCUUUAAAUAACUUCCUACAUGGCAGAUUGGUUUCUACCACCCUUACAUGGCCUGUCAUCAAACAGUAAGAACUAGGAGCAUAUGUUAACCAUUGCCAGGAAUGAGGACUUCAGUGUAUGCAGUGGUGAACAUCCAACAGAGCACAUGACAAAUACCAUGGUUCAGAAGCAGAGGAGUAUAAAUGGAGAAGUAGAGGUCAUUGGAGGAUGUAGUUUGAAACAGUCUCUUUGCUGGGAUACUCUUUUUGUAUAAUUCUGUGGGAAUGGGAUUCAACCAACAGUGUUACAUUAAGAAAAACACAGGAAUACAAUGCCUGUUUCUUGAGAAUAAAUACAGUUUUGA